rnacentral:rRNA from 1 species
CAGCCGCCGCGGUAAUACCUGCAGCUCAAGUGGUGAUCAUUAUUAUUGGGCCUAAAACGUCCGUAGCCGGUUUAGUAAAUGCCUGGGUAAAUCGUGUAGCUUAACUAUACGAAUUCCGGGUAGACUGCUAAACUUGAGACCGGGAGAGGCUAGAGGUACUCCUGGGGUAGAGGUGAAAUUCUGUAAUCCUAGGGGGACCACCAGUGGCGAAGGCGUCUAGCUAGAACGGGUCUGACGGUGAGGGACGAAGCCCUGGGGCGCAAACCGGAUUAGAUACCCGGGUAGUCCAGGGUGUAAACGCUGCUUGCUUGAUGUUAGUUGGGCUCCGAGCCCAACUAGUGUCGGAGAGAAGUUGUUAAGCAAGCUGCCUGGGAAGUACGGUCGCAAGGCUGAAACUUAAAGGAAUUGGCGGGGGAGCACAGCAACCGGUGGAGCGUGCGGGUUAAUUGGAUUCAACGCCGGAAAACUCACCGGAAGCGAACGGUUACAUGAAGGCCAGGCUGAUGACCUUGCUUGAUUUUCCGAGAGGUGGUGCAUGCCCGCCGUCAGUUCGUACCGUAAGGCGUUCUGUUAAGUCAGACAACGAACGAGACCCUCAUCUUUAAUUGCUACUGGUAAGUCCGCUUACUGGGCACAUUAGAGAAACCGCUGGCGAUAAGUCAGAGGAAGGCGAGGGCAACGGUAGGUCAGUAUGCCCUGAAUCCUCCGGGCUACACGCGCGCUACAAAGGCUAGGACAAUGGGUUUCAACACCGAGAGGUGAAGGUAAUCUCGAAAACCUAGUCAUAGUUCGGAUUGAGGGUUGAAACUCACCCUCAUGAAGCUGGAAUCCGUAGUAAUCGCGGAUCAAAAUCCCGCGGUGAAUAUGCCCCUGCUCCUUGCACACACCGCCCGUCAAACCAUGCGAGUUGGGUUUGAGUGAGGAUGUAGUUUUUGCUGCGUUCAAACUUAGGCUCAGUAAGCGGGGUUAAGUCGUAACAAGGUAGCCGUA